CCUACGGGAGGCAGCAGUGGGGGAUAUUGCACAAUGGGGGGAACCCUGAUGCAGCGACGCCGCGUGGGUGAAGGAGUGCUUCGGCAUGUAAAGCCCUAUCGGCAGGGAAGAAGCAAGACGGUACCUGACUAAGAAGCCCCGGCUAACUACGUGCCAGCAGCCGCGGUAAUACGUAGGGGGCGCGCGUUAUCCGGAUUCACUGGGUGUAAAGGGAGCGUAGACGGCCAUGCAAGCCAGGGGUGAAAGCCCGGGGCCCAACCCCGGGACUGCCCGUGGAACUGUGCGGUUAGAGAGCGGGAGGGGCAGGCGGAAUGCCUGGUGUAGCGGUGAAAUGCGUAGAGAUCAGGCGGAACACCGGCGGCGAAGGCAGCCUGCUAGACCACGACUGACGUUGAGGCUCGAAAGCGUGGGGAGCGAACAGGAUUAGAUACCCUUGUAGUC
rnacentral:rRNA from 1 species